rnacentral:rRNA from 2 species
UUGGUGACAGCGGAGGGUCAUUA